GGGAGAGAUUUUGAAAUUUAAGAAGUGGGAUAAGAUGAAGAGAAUAAUCCUAUGCAUAAAAUUAAAAGUUAAGAGUUGAAAAGAUCUGACCAAUGGGAUGCAAUCCAACAGACAACAAUGUCAUAUAGAAAACCCACUUUCCCUUUGGACUUUGAAUCAAGCAAUUAUCAACAAUCAAUUAGCAAUAUCAUACAUCAUGAAGAUCAAGGCAUCAAAUAAAGAUGGCCACAUCCAAACAAGAAA
rnacentral:lncRNA from 1 species